rnacentral:rRNA from 1 species
UAGGGAAUCUUCGGCAAUGGGUGGAACCCUGACCGAGCAACGCCGCGUGAGUGAAGAAGGUUUUCGGAUCGUAAAGCUCUGUUGUUAAGGAAGAACGAGUGUGAGAAUGGAAAGUUCAUACUGUGACGGUACUUAACCAGAAAGGGACGGCUAACUACGUGCCAGCAGCCGCGGUAAUACGUAGGUCCCGAGCGUUGUCCGGAUUUAUUGGGCGUAAAGCGAGCGCAGGCGGUUAGAUAAGUCUGAAGUUAAAGGCAGUGGCUCAACCAUUGUAGGCUUUGGAAACUGUUUAACUUGAGUGCAGAAGGGGAGAGUGGAAUUCCAUGUGUAACGGUGAAAUGCGUAGAUAUAUGGAGGAACACCGGUGGCGAAAGCGGCUCUCUGGUCUGUAACUGACGCUGAGGCUCGAAAGCGUGGGGAGCGAACAGG